rnacentral:rRNA from 1 species
CCUACGGGCGGCUGCAGUGGGGAAUAUUGGACAAUGGGCGAAAGCCUGAUCCAGCCAUGCCGCGUGUGUGAAGAAGGCCUUCGGGUUGUAAAGCACUUUCAGUGGGGAAGAAAGCCUUGGGGCUAAUACCCUCGAGGACGGACAUCACCCACAGAAGAAGCACCGGCUAACUCCGUGCCAGCAGCCGCGGUAAUACGGAGGGUGCGAGCGUUAAUCGGAAUUACUGGGCGUAAGCGCGCGUAGGCGGUCUGAUAAGCCGGUUGUGAAAGCCCCGGGCUCAACCUGGGAACGGCAUCCGGAACUGUCAGGCUAGAGUGCAGGAGAGGAAGGUAGAAUUCCCGGUGUAGCGGUGAAAUGCGUAGAGAUCGGGAGGAAUACCAGUGGCGAAGGCGGCCUUCUGGACUGACACUGACGCUGAGGUGCGAAAGCGUGGGUAGCAAACAGGAUUAGAUACCCCUGUAGUC